rnacentral:rRNA from 1 species
CUAGCGUAAGUGACAGUGUGGGGGGGAAGACGUGGGGUGCGAGAGGUUAGACGAAUUAAUGGGCGUACAGCGUGCGCAGGCGGAGCUGGAAGACAGGUGUGAAAUCCCCGGGGUUAACCUGGGAAUGGGGCUUGUGAGUGCAGUGGUCGAGUGCGGCAGAGGGGGGUGGAAGUCCACGUGUAGCAGUGAAAUGCGUAGAGAUGUGGAGGAACACCGAUGGCGAAGGCAGCCCCCUGGGUCGACACUGACGCUCAUGCACGAAAGCGUGGGGAGCAAACAGGAUUAGAUACCCGAGUAGUC